CUCCCCUGCCCCAUCGGCGCCCCACACCAUCACCAUACCCCCAAGCCCCGCCGCCCACAACCCCUCCGGAGAGCCGGUGACCGCGGGGCGGACCCGACAACCGCGGCGCCCCACCCCACCACCACCACCACCCUCCCGUCCCUUCCCCUCCUCCGCCCCACCUGCCUCCCCUGACCCGCCUUCCUAUCCCGCCCGCCGCCGCCGCACAGGGCCGUAGCCCCCGCCCAGCCAACUACCUCCGGCGGCCAUGCCCCGCCCGGCAACCACCGGAUCCGGUGGGAUCCCGCUCCACCUCCCCUCAUCUCCCGCCUUUUACCACGCCGUCGCGCCGAACGGAUGGAAGGUAUCCGAUGGAGCGCCAUCUUCCUCCUGCGCCAGCUCCCUCCCAUGGCCGGCCCGAUAUGGGCUGGAUCUCUUCUCCUAGGACGGCAACGAUGUGCCAGGAGGUACACGGUGGCGACGGCAGUAGGGAUUGUGCGUGCAGUCCGGCGCCCGUGGAUUUGCAGCUCGGCUGUGUGAGAUGCGGUUGUGGGUGUUAAUGUCAAGCAGUUCGUGGGCACGCCGGCAAUGACUGCAGCAACGGCUCUGCUUCCAGCGAGCUCAACCGGUCGUCCGCCGGCGGGAUCCUCAGUUCGGCGAUGCGUAGACGUACAGUGCGGUGGCGCUGACAAAAACGACGAGGAGGACGAUGGUGUGUGACUUGUGGUUCGCGGGAACUGGUGACCCCCCAUCUUGCCAAGAUCCCUCCGCCGCCCCUUCCCUUCCCUCCCUCCUAGGUGUGCAGAACGGUUUUCGUUCAGUGCAGUAAAAUUUCUAAUGCAGCUCAUUAAUUCCUCUUUGCAGUUUGUUUGGUGCCCCCGCAUGAGGUUCAACCAACUUAUCUACUUGCAGUUCGAAAACUGGUCUACAAACGAAAAGGCAUGCAUGAUUUGUGGACGACUAAGAAUUUUACCUGUGUGCAGCUCUACUUGCAGUACUUGCGGCUCGACUGUGGAGUUCGCUUGGCAUUUUCGUUCAGUCCACUGUGUAAAAAAUGAACUAGAUGUCUCCGCGGCUUGGAGUGAGACCAGUGGCGGAGCUACAAGGAAUUUCCUGGGCGGGCCAAGCCAAAGGAAGCCUAAUACUUUUGCCCUUGUAGUCCAGUUUUACUUACCUUUAUACCUAAGUGGUUUUGGCUGAUGCUGGGCGGGCUAUGGCACUGUUUUGUUCCUAUGUAACUCCGCCGUGAAGAACUACCUCAAGAUAUUCAGAAUCCCAGUCAAGUUGUCAGCGCGGAGAGAAAAAACGGCGUCAACAACAACAAAAAUGCAUAUGCAGGGGGUGGCCGGAGCUGGAGUGGAGUUGCUCUCCUCCAUGGCGCUCCACCUCGGUGGCUGUGCGGGUCAUAGGAGUUUUUUUUUUUCCUCUUUUUGGAUUUUGGAUGUGCAGUGCACCCGGAUCACGCGAGCAGUGCACCCGGAUCACGCGAGCAGUUAAUUGCAGUGUGAUUACAGUUUUGGUAGCGCGGGUAGCAUUUUGUUCUUUUACCUUUAUAGAAAAAAGUUUCAUCUAGUCAGCCUUUUUUUAUUUCAAAUAUGCAGUUCAGUGGCAUGGUGUAGUUUGCAGGUGCAGUACGCCGCUGGGGUGUGAUCUAGUACAUCACGGCUAGUCCUCAAUUGCUGUUCGACUGGUGACAUUGUGGAUUUUGUGUGUAUGGCUGUGUGUGUGUCUGUUUAAAAAUAAUGAAAAGAUAUAGAGUAUAUGUUUUGAA